GUACUGUAGGGUCAACAUAAAAAAAUGACAAAAGAAAUGCAGUUACUGUUGUUGAUUUUGUAUAUUCAAUUUAUUCAAUUCAUGAGAGCACCACAAAUGAAACAGAAGUUUCUGUAUUCUUGAUCUAAAAUUAUUAUUUCAAAAUCAUGCCAUAAACUGUCAAGAAUAAGUUCUACUUUGGUGACUUUUUCUUGCAGGCAGUUGCAAUUGGCUAGUUUGUGUUCUUGAUGGCAAAACAGAAAGCCUGUAGCCAAAGUGGUUUCAAUUUUGUAUCACACAACUCAAGCAGCAGCAUGUCUGUUCUAAAUGGCACGUUUGAUUCUUGAGGAAGAUCCUUGACCAUCUGAAGCUUUCCGUUUGAUGCUCUGCACUUCAAGUCCUGCAGCCUGCAUGGAAGAUCAAAACCAUGGGCCGCACAAGACAUACUCUCAACUUGCUCUAUGUCUGUUUGUCUCUUUUACGUUGCUGUGGAGAACAGUACCGUGCUGACAAUACGCAUCAAUCCAACAGCGCAAAACAAGAAUAAAUAGUUGCUCCAUUGUCACACAAAGUAAACUGAAAGAAAACUUCAAAGGCAACAACCACUCCUGUGAUCAACAAUCGCUAUUAUAUAAUGUAAGCCAGUCAAAUGCAGCACCACAACCAUCAUUAAAGCGUUCUGGCUGAUCACACGCUUUAAUUGGACCGUGCGAGGGGCCUGGGCAAAAUGGCGGCUUGUUAGCUCAGCUGCAGAGCAGAGUGAAUGUACAGACAAGCAAGCAAACAAAUGAGGAUAUAAACAAACCCCAUGGAAGCUCACUUGGAACCUUGGGUCUGCUAAGAAGCAAAGCAGUGUUUCAAGACGAGGUGAAGGUCCCAUAUUUUCCUGAAGCAAGACUCCACUUUGGUCAUGUGGGAAAAUAAAAUGCAUGUCGCCCCUGCGUUGAAACCAAGCAGUCAAAGGCGAACAGCACAUGCUGACUUUGUUGGCGGAACAGCUGCGGAAGGAAUAUUCAACACACCUUCUGUAUUUUAUUCAUGUUCAAAAUAAAGCUUGAC